UACGAAGGGGGCUAGCGUUGCUCGGAAUCACUGGGCGUAAAGCGCACGUAGGCGGAUUGUUAAGUCAGGGGUGAAAUCCUGGAGCUCAACUCCAGAACUGCCUUUGAUACUGGCGAUCUCGAGUCCGGGAGAGGGUGAGUGGAACUGCGAGUGUAGAGGUGAAAUUCGUAGAUAUUCGCAAGAACACCAGUGGCGAAGGCGGCUCACCUGGCCCGGUACUGACGCUGAGGUGCGAAAGCGUGGGAGCA
rnacentral:rRNA from 1 species